AAAUUGAAGAGUUUGAUCAUGGCUCAGAUUGAACGCUGGCGGCAGGCCUAACACAUGCAAGUCGAACGGUAGCACAGAGAGCUUGCUCUCGGGUGACGAGUGGCGGACGGGUGAGUAAUGUCUGGGAAACUGCCUGAUGGAGGGGGAUAACUACUGGAAACGGUGGCUAAUACCGCAUAACGUCGCAAGACCAAAGAGGGGGACCUUCGGGCCUCUUGCCAUCAGAUGUGCCCAGAUGGGAUUAGCUUGUUGGUGAGGUAACGGCUCACCAAGGCGACGAUCCCUAGCUGGUCUGAGAGGAUGACCAGCCACACUGGAACUGAGACACGGUUCAGACUCCUACGGGAGGCAGCAGUGGGGAAUAUUGCACAAUGGGCGCAAGCCUGAUGCAGCCAUGCCGCGUGUAUGAAGAAGGCCUUCGGGUUGUAAAGUACUUUCAGCGGGGAGGAAGGUGUUGUGGUUAAUAACCGCAGCAAUUGACGUUACCCGCAGAAGAAGCACCGGCUAACUCCGUGCCAGCAGCCGCGGUAAUACGGAGGGUGCAAGCGUUAAUCGGAAUUACUGGGCGUAAAGCGCACGCAGGCGGUCUGUCAAGUCGGAUGUGAAAUCCCCGGGCUCAACC
rnacentral:rRNA from 1 species